AGAGUCUACCUACCUUGAUGUUGUCCAGGUUGAGAGGGCAGGUUGAAGAGCCUACCUACCGUGAUGUUGUCCAGGUUCAAGAGGGCAGGUUGAAGAGCCUACCUACCUUGAUGUUAUCCAGGUUGAAGAGCCUACUUACCUUGAUGUUAUCCAGGUUGAAGAGCCUACCUACCUUGAUGUUGUCCAGGUUGAGAGGGCAGGUUGAAGAGCCUACCUACCUUGAUGUUAUCCAGGUUGAAGAGCCUACUUACCUUGAUGUUAUCCAGGUUGAAGAGCCUACCUACCUUGAUGUUGUCCAGGUUGAGAGGGCAGGUUGAAGAGCCUACCUACCUUGAUAUUAUCCAGGUUGAGAGGACAGGUUGAAGAGCCUACCUACCUUGAUGUUAUCCAGGUUGAGAGGACAGGUUGAAGAGCCUACCUACCUUGAUGUUAUCCAGGUUGAGAGGACAGGUUGAAGAGCCUACCUACCGUGAUGUUAUCCAGGUUGAGAGGACAGGUUGAAGAGCCUACCUACCUUGAUGUUAUCCAGGUUGAGAGGACAGGUUGAAGAG